UACGAGGGGGACUAGCGUUGUUCGGAAUCACUGGGCGUAAAGCGCACGUAGGCGGAUAUGUCAGUCAGGGGUGAAAUCCCGGGGCUCAACCUCGGAACUGCCUUUGAUACAGCAUAUCUUGAGUCCGAUAGAGGUGGGUGGAAUUCCUAGUGUAGAGGUGAAAUUCGUAGAUAUUAGGAAGAACACCGGUGGCGAAGGCGGCCCACUGGAUCGGUACUGACGCUGAGGUGCGAAAGCGUGGGGAGCAAACAGG
rnacentral:rRNA from 1 species